AGGUGAACCUGCGGAAGGAUCAUUCAUAAUCAAGUGUUUUUAUGGCACUUUCAAAAAUCCAUAUCCACCUUGUGUGCAAUGUCAUCUCUCUGGGGGCUGCCGGCUGUCAAAAGCCGUGUGGUCACCUUUGGGAUUUAUAUCUACUCAGAACUUUAGUGAUUUUGUCUGAAACAUAUUAUGAAUACUUAAUUCAAAAUACAACUUUCAACAACGGAUCUCUUGGCUCUCG
rnacentral:misc_RNA from 1 species